rnacentral:rRNA from 1 species
GUGUCAGCAGCCGCGGUAACACGGGGGGAGCAAGCGUUGUUCGGAAUCACUGGGCGUAAAGGGCGUGUAGGCGGUCAGGUAAGUGGGACGUGAAAUGCCUCGGCUCACCCGAGGAGCGGCGUCCCAUACUGCUUGGCUUGAGUAAGGGAGAGGAUGUGGGAAUUCCUGGUGUAGCGGUGAAAUGCGUAGAUAUCAGGAGGAACACCGGUGGCGAAGGCGCACAUCUGGCCCGAUACUGACGCUGAGGCGCGAAAGCUAGGGGAGCAAACGGGAUUAGAUACCCUAGUAGUCC